UACGUAGGGUGCAAGCGUUGUCCGGAAUUAUUGGGCGUAAAGAGCGUGUAGGCGGCCCGAUUAGUCCGCUGUGAAAGUCCAGGGCUCAACCCUGGAAUGCCGGUGGAUACUGUCGGGCUAGAGUCCGGAAGGGGCGAGUGGAAUUCCUGGUGUAGCGGUGAAAUGCGCAGAUAUCAGGAGGAACACCAAUGGCGAAGGCAGCUCGCUGGGACGUGACUGACGCUGAUGCACGAAAGCUAGGGGAGCAAACAGG
rnacentral:rRNA from 1 species